CCUUCUUUUUCUUUUAAUCUUUCCAUUAAUGUUCUUGUGUAAGGUUAACGUUUUGGUUUGUAGAGUUUUCUUGGUGUGUUACUAAAGGGGGCUCAAUUUCGUUAAUUGCCAUUAGUUGGUCUAAUAUGGCUUAAGUUUACAUUUUGGAGAAAAAUUAUUUCUUGUUACUAGUUCUAGCAUUAUAUUUUUCAUAUUUUUAUGAAAUUACUCAAUAUUGGAGAAGGGUUUUAAAUAGUGUAGGGGAUUAGAAAAAGAAAAUGUUAAGCUUUAACGCUUUUAUGAAAGAUGGCUGCUUUUAGGCCCACUAGUCAUUUCAUUUUUUGAUAUAUUACCCUGUGAUGUAGGUUGUAUCCUGUUUCAAAUAAGCUGUGCCUUAUUUGAAUAGCUCUUAAAUUUAGUGAAGGUUUAGAUAAACUGAGGAAAAUUUAAGGUUGAACUAAAAUUCUUUUCUUGAGUAACCAGCUAUUUCUGGGUGCGGUAGGUUUAUCGCCUCUACUUGGAAAUCUUCCCACUCUAUUGCAACAGAGACGGGUUGGCUCUUACAGCUGUUUCGAAGUAGCUCACGUCAGUUUCGGGGGGUUAAACUUAAAGUUCAUU
rnacentral:rRNA from 1 species